CUCAUUGUGCCCAUUCAAGGUUCUUACGCAAUCACCAGAGAGACUAUCCCAUAACCGAACCUUCCCAUCCAUACAGCCUGUUGCUAGAUACCUGGAUGUGCCCAGCCAUGUCAAACAUGUCACUCCAUCCUGUCCAUAGGUACAACGGGGCAAUGAAUGCUGCAAGUCCCAAAUAAUAAGCUUCUUAUCCAUACCUCCAGUUGCAGCCCAAGGGGAGCUGCCACACACAAUUUAAGGCAUGAUAAUAAUAGCAUCAUAGCAGAAUACUACACGAAUUAAGAGUCACAUUGCCUAGAUUUAGAAACCACAUGUAAUUACCUCAAACAGGAUUUCUCAUAUAGGAGGAAGAUGGGAAACUUCAUAAUUCCAAAUUGUUGCUCUUAAUAUCUUUGACAAAAUCACUCUUGCAUUAUCCCAUAAUUUUAUUUAUAUAUGUCAUCAAACUUAAUGCU